UUCAUAACUCGAAUAUUCCACAGGGCCU
rnacentral:piRNA from 1 species